UACAGAGGGUGCAAGCGUUAAUCGGAAUUACUGGGCGUAAAGCGUGCGUAGUCGGUUAUUUAAGUCGGGUGUGAAAGCCCCGGGCUCAACCUGGGAAUUGCAUUCGAUACUGGAUAGCUAGAGUUCGGCAGAGGGAAGCGGAAUUUCCGGUGUAGCGGUGAAAUGCGUAGAUAUCGGAAGGAACAUCAGUGGCGAAAGCGGCUCCUGGACCAGAACUGACGAUCAGGCACGAAAGCGUGGGGAGCAACAGGGAUUAAGAU
rnacentral:rRNA from 1 species